UACGUAGGGUGCAAGCGUUGUCCGGAAUUAUUGGGCGUAAAGAGCUCGUAGGCGGUCUGUCGCGUCUGCUGUGAAAACUCGGGGCUUAACCCCGGGCCUGCAGUUGGGGUACGGGCAGACUAGAGUGCGGUAGGGGGAGACUGGAAUUCCUGGUGUAGCGGUGAAAUGCGCAGAUAUCAGGAGGAACACCGGUGGGCGAAGGCGGGUCUCUGGGCCGUAACUGACGCUGAGGAGCGAAAGCAUGGGGAGCGAACAGG
rnacentral:rRNA from 1 species